GAGAAUCCCUCGUCUACCCAAGGAGAGAGAGCCUGAACUGCUUCCUCAGAAGCAGGCCUAGAAUACCAAAGCAUGACCGUCCAGCAAAGCUGCCUUGUCAGUGAGUACCCAGCUUAGGAGCAGUAAUGACACUGGCUAUGCAUAGGGUCUCUCUUUCUCUCUGGGUCUGUAGCACCGAUGUCAAGAGCACAGAACUCACCACUAAAUGACCUGGGUUAAUACCCCUGAUCUGUCACUCACUAGAUGCAAAAUCCUGGGCAAGGUACUUAGUUCUUUGCGUCUCAGUUUCCUCAUCUGCAAAGCAGGGAUGGGAGCAUUAGAGCCAACCACAGAAGCAUUUGCGAGGACUAUCCAAGGUAACGAAUGGAAAAUACAGAGAGAAGUGUCCAGCCUGUGAUGAGCGCCAGUAAGUGUUGGCUAUUAUUAUUCCCCUAUGCCUGGUUUUAUGCUAAACCAUUUCCAGACAUUCUCCCUGUAGGAUGCUUCGAAAGGCACUCUGCAGUUAUUCCCAUGAAGAUUGUGUGGGUUGAGUGACUUGCUCAAGGCCAUUCAAUUGGUUGGUGGCAGAGCAGGGACUGGAACUCACUGAAGCCAGUGAGCUCUCCUGUGGGGUGGGGGUGGUCUCCCCUUUCCUGCAGGGUCUUAGCUGGGGAUGCUCACCACCUUUACGUUGUGGGCCAGAGGGAGGACAGUAGUCAGUGGACUUCGAAGCUCACUCAGCUCCACAUAAGUGGGAGGUGAGACCUGGGAGGCAUUCUUCCAGGUGGUGGUAGGGAGCUCCUCGUGGUGGAAGGUAAUCAAUGAACAGAUUCACACUCAUUUGAAAUGGAUGAUCUUUCAGUGCUAUUCAUGCCACGCAGCACAGCAGGAUGUUCUGAGGAUGCCGGAGUGAUGACCUGCUAACUGAAUUUGUCGAGUGGUGUGAGGGUAAUGAGCUUAUGUAAAACCAGUGUACCAAAAAUACAGACUAAGAAAACCCCAAGGCCGCACGAUUAGUAAUAGGGAACAAACAUGCUAUUUUCCCUCAUUUUUUUUUCUUGAUGUUGCCAUGAAGGGUUUCCUCUCAUUCAUCAGAAAUAAAAGCCCUAUGACAGUUAGACUUCCUCAGGGCCUACACUGGCAGCCAUGGAGUGGGCUGGAGGGGAGCUGGGGCCCAGAGACUCCUGAGUUCUACGACUGCCUCUGCCUUGCUGGAUUUGAACCCAGCUGGGCUGGCUGAAUUCACAGCCUGUGCGGUUAACUCCACAGCACUCUGCACCUCCAGCUAUGACCCAGAGAGUUCUGGGAGAGUCAGAGCUAUUCAAGAAUGGUGGGUGUGUAUGGGGCCCUGGGGGUGGGCUCGGCUUACUGUGUGAGGGGCCAUAGAGAGGCCUGCUUUUCCCUUCUGUUUUUGUCCCAGCCCACCCUCUGCUCCAGCCUGUCAAGGCCACCUGUGUGACUCUUUGGCAGGCUCUGUGUGUAGUGUGGACAGUGCUGUCAUCCUGCUUGGCUGCAGGUUUGGCCAUCCUCCAUGGAUUUUCCAUGGCCCAUUUGCUUUUCUUUUGCUCUGGGGGGCUGAUGGUUUGCACACCUGCCAGGCAGUUCUCCCCAAGGGGUCUUGGAGAGCCUGGCCUGCAGAACAUGAGUGCCAUAGCUCUGAAGGCAGCCCAGCCUACUUGAACCUUGGAUCCUGGGAUCCAGAGCCAUUCAUGAGUCAUGUUGUUUUUGUAGUGAAUCUUUACCCACUUCUCGUGAGGACAGCCUAUCCAGGUCCUGUGGGACAGCAGGAUUUAAUGCCCAGAAGUAGGAAGACUAGGCUGGGCAUCAGGGGGCCAAGGCUGGGAUCUCUGUGCCCCUUCCUGGCUGCAGCACUGUGGGCAAGUUGCCAUCCCUCUCUGAGUCAGGGUUUUCUCACCUGUAACUUAGAAAUGAUCACUUCCUUCCCUUCCUGGAGCACCUAGAUGUUGUAAGAAUAAAACGAGAUAACAUAGAGGUGAGAAUACUCAGCAGAUAUCAAUCACAGACCUACUAUAUACAUGGUACUCACUGACCAUGUUGUACAUGAUCACAAUUCAAAGAAAACCAACGAAUUAAUCAACCAAUGACCUACCAACUAAUCAACUUACCGACCAACUUACUAACAAACUGAGCAACCAACCAACCAACCAACCAACCAACCAACCAACCAACCAACCAAUAAAUGAAUUUAUCUCCCAACCGACCAAACAGUGGAGCUUAGCAUCUUGUUGGGAAAAGACCUACAUUGAAAAAUCCCACAGAGAAAUACCGACGACCCUUGCUCAGAUGGAGAGGACACACCAUCAUGACAGCCUCCGGUGGAGGGGCAGCAGUGGGAGCCGUGGGACAGGGUCCCAGUUCAGGGAUUUUUCAGGCGCUACCACUCCUCUCUUUCCCCACGGCUCCCAGCUGCACCCAGGCUCUGGCUCUUGGAUGCAUUCCCAGGGCCUCCACCUGGAACCUCGCAGCAGCUCCUCAUCGCAGUCUCUCCUUGGACACACUGUGGCCAAAAUGUCUCUUUUCGGAAGAGUGAUGUGACUAUGUCAUUUCUCUGUUUAAAACCCCUUACGGGCUGCUCCUGUGUUCUCAGCCUGGAGAAGCAGACCCUGCCACAUUUCCAGAAGCACCCACCUUACUCGCUGGGAGAAACACACCCACCAAGAAAAAUGCUGUGACAGGUUGUGAGGUUGGAAGUUGAAACAGAAGCAUCAAGUUCUAAUAGAUCCUGCCCUGUUAAGUGAAGUCCCCGGAACAAGAUGCCGUUUCAAGGGAAACGGAUCUGGGCUUUUAAAACUCUCUACUCACGAUGAGAAUAUAAAAAGAUGGGUCCGGGAGAACAAAGGGAGAGAUUUUGGGGGAUGAUUCCUUGGGAAGAAGUGUACCCAGCCCUUUUGCUAGCAUGUUGGGGGGGCAUGAAGAGAUCCCUCCUCCACCUCAUCCAAGUUGCUGUAAAAGACAUGAUUUCAUUCUUUUUUAUGGCUGAGUAGUAUUCCAUGGUAUCUGUAUACCACAUUUUCUUUAUCCACUCGUCGGUUGAUGGGCACUUAGAUUGGUUCCACGUCUUUGCAAUUGCCCCCACCUCAAAUUUAGU
rnacentral:lncRNA from 1 species